AUGGCUCUUGCAUCAGAACCUAAUGCCUACAAGGUGCAAAAACAGUUUGCUAACAAAACGGUGGUCCUGAAAACUCUUGCCAAAGCAGUUUUGCAAUCCAGAUCAUUAUUAAAACUCCGGACAGAACGACUAGUCUUAUUUCUACUGAAGUUUCAUUCUGAGCUCUUCAAGGCACCGGUUACUUUAUUAGAUCUGAUUAAUAAGAAACUUAAGAUGCUUCUACAUGGAGACGAUCCAGAUGCCAUAUCAGGUAUUGAUCCAGACUUACUCUUUCUUCAUCGUUACGUGACUGAUACAGGUACAUAA
rnacentral:lncRNA from 1 species